GUUAGGGUUAGGGUUAGGGUUAGGGUUAGGGUUAGGGUUAGGGUUAGGGUUAGGGUUAGGGUUAGGGUUAGGGUUAGGGUUAGGGUUAGGGUUAGGGUUAGGUUAAGAGCCAUCUACCACUUUUGAAAAACGGUUUUUUUGGGCUAGUUCGAGAACCGAGUGGAUCAUGGGAAUUCUUUUACCACCCACGGAUAGGUCUAGGCCCAGCGGACUUGCUCAAAAAAUGUGGCGCCCCUGGUGUUUUUUUUUGGGUACUGCAAUUUCAAUUUUUAAGUUUAAAAGUGAAGCGUUUUUUUUUUUUUAUUGGAUCAUGGGAAUUCUGAAUAGUGCCAGUUGUAGCCCUUGGUCCCCU
ensembl:lncRNA